UACGUAGGGUGCGAGCGUUAAUCGGAAUUACUGGGCGUAAAGUGUGCGCUAGGCGGCCCGCGCAAGUCGAGUGUGAAAUCCCCGAGCUUAACUUGGGAAUUGCGCGUCGAAAACUACGUGGCUGGAGUGUGGCAGAGGAAGGUGGAAUUCCACGUGUAGCGGUGAAAUGCGUAGAGAUGGGGGAGAACACUCGUGGCGAAGGCGGCCAGCUAGACCAGUUCUGACACUGAGGCGCGACAGCGUGGGGAGCAAACAGG
rnacentral:rRNA from 1 species